AACGCAAAUUGCGCCUUCUUUCGGAAGGCAUGUCUGUUUGAGGGCACCAUUUAACAAAUAAUGUGCGCGUCGUUUACGGACGACGUGCGCACGUUGAUGAGCUUUUCCGAAAAAACCAGGUUUUUUUGGUGGCGCAUAAUGAACAGCGUGGGCUUUUUCUUCGAUUCUCGUGUAGUAAAUCUUCAACGCUUGGGUUGAGAAAAAGUGCGUGCCGCGCAAUGGGUGUGGCGAAUUUACCCCUGCCCCAAUGCCACUCUUUCCCUGCGAAAGAACAAUUUUUAUUUAGGGCCUCAAAUCAGACAAGAGUACCCGCUGAACUUAA
rnacentral:misc_RNA from 1 species